rnacentral:rRNA from 1 species
AACGAACGCUGGCGGCAUGCCUAACACAUGCAAGUCGAACGAGACCUUCGGGUCUAGUGGCGCACGGGAGCGUAACGCGUGGGAACCUGCCCUUAGGUUCGGAAUAACUCCCCGAAAGGGGUGCUAAUACCGGAUAAUGUCUUCGGGCCAAAGAUUUAUCGCCUUUGGAUGGGCCCGCGUUGGAUUAGCUAGUUGGUAGGGUAAAAGCCUACCAAGGCGACGAUCCAUAGCUGGUCUGAGAGGAUGAUCAGCCACACUGGGACUGAGACACGGCCCAGACUCCUACGGGAGGCAGCAGUGGGGAAUAUUGGACAAUGGGCGAAAGCCUGAUCCAGCAAUGCCGCGUGAGUGAUGAAGGCCUUAGGGUUGUAAAGCUCUUUUACCCGGGAUGAUAAUGACAGUACCGGGAGAAUAAGCUCCGGCUAACUCCGUG